rnacentral:rRNA from 1 species
GACGAACGCUGGCGGCGUGCUUAACACAUGCAAGUCGAACGGAAAGGCCCUGCUUUUGUGGGGUGCUCGAGUGGCGAACGGGUGAGUAACACGUGAGUAACCUGCCCUUGACUUUGGGAUAACUUCAGGAAACUGGGGCUAAUACCGGAUAGGAGCUCCUGCUGCAUGGUGGGGGUUGGAAAGUUUCGGCCGUUGGGGAUGGACUCGCGGCUUAUCAGCUUGUUGGUGGGGUAGUGGCUUACCAAGGCUGUGACGGGUAGCCCGCCUGGGAGGGGAACCGGCCACAAUGGGACUGAGAGACGGACCAGACUGCAACGGGAGGCAACGGGCGGGAGUAUUACGCAGUAGGGGGAAGCGAGAUACAACAGCGCCGCGUGCGGAAUGACGGGCUUCGGGUUAUGAACCACUUUCGACGGUAACGAAGCGUGAGUGACGGUAAUGGGUAAGGAAGCACCGGCUAACUACGUG